AGGACGAACGCUGGCGGCGUGCUUAACACAUGCAAGUCGAACGGAAAGGCCCGCUUGCGGGUACUCGAGUGGCGAACGGGUGAGUAACACGUGGGCAACCUGCCCUCAGCUCUGGGAUAACUCCGGGAAACCGGUGCUAAUACUGGAUAUCAACUUUGCCUCGCAUGGGGUGUUGUUGAAAGUUUUUCGGCUGGGGAUGGGCCCGCGGCCUAUCAGCUUGUUGGUGGGGUGAUGGCCUACCAAGGCGACGACGGGUA
rnacentral:rRNA from 1 species